GAUGAACGCUGGCGGCGUGCCUAAUACAUGCAAGUCGAGCGAACGGACGAGAAGCUUGCUUCUCUGAUGUUAGCGGCGGACGGGUGAGUAAUACGUGGAUAACCUACCUAUAAGACUGGGAUAACUUCGGGAAACCGGAUCUAACACCGGAUAAUAUUUUGAACCGCAUGGUUCAACAGAGAAAGACGGUCUUGCUGUCACUUAUAGAUGGAUCCGCGCUGCAUUAGCUAGUUGGUAAGGUAACGGCUUACCAAGGCAACGAUGCAUAGCCGACCUGAGAGGGUGAUCGGCCACACUGGAACUGAGACACGGUCCAGACUCCUACGGGAGGCAGCAGUAGGGAAUCUUCCGCAAUGGGCGAAAGCCUGACGGAGCAACGCCGCGUGAGUGAUGAAGGUCUUCGGAUCGUAAAACUCUGUUAUUAGGGAAGAACAUAUGUGUAAGUAACUGUGCACAUCUUGACGGUACCUAAUCAGAAAGCCACGGCUAACUACGUG
rnacentral:rRNA from 1 species